AUCCUUUUGUAGUUCAUAAGCAUGAUGAUUGGGUUUUCACACGCAUGCAUGAGAUGUGCCUCCCUCAAUCCUUGUUACGACAUCAGCACAUUACCCAUCUGACA
rnacentral:snoRNA from 1 species